CUAUGUGAAGGUUUUGCAACAUUUAUCAUCCCAAUAAUCAUGAAAGUCUCUUUGGAUGAUUUGGUAGGUAGACUGGUGUUCCCUUCUUUGUCGCUGCUCCAUGCACAUCUCUCUAAAAGCUGCACAAUUGAUAGAAGAAAACAACCUUAAUUGAUUGAGGAGGGACAUUCUUUGGUUCAGAGUAACUGAGUAGCUGCACUCAGUUCUCAGUGUCCAAAAACAGUUCAGAAAAUGAAGGGAUAAAGGGUACUUUGUUAUCUUCUCC
rnacentral:snRNA from 1 species